GGAUCCCAACACUUUGGGAGAUAGAGAUGGAGGACCCAUUGCUUGAGGCCAGGAGUUCAAGACCAGCCUGAGCAACACAGCGAGACACCACCUCUGCAAAAAAUAAAAGAAAUUAGCCAGGCAUGGUGGUGGAUGCUGCGGACUCAGCUACUUGGAAAGCUGAGGGAUCCUCCAGUGGGCCAUGCUCUGGGCCACCCCAGGGCUUUGCAUGGCUUUUUCUGGCCCCACGACACUCAUCUGCCUCCUGCUUUUGCCUCCCAUUCUUCCAUUCGUGCUAUUCCCCGCCUCGGAUCAGACCACAGGCUGCCUGCCAGCCCACCCCUCUUCAGAGCAGGUUGUAACGUUACCUCCCGCCAUCAUGAAGUCACCUCACAUCCUCCCAGUGGCAGGCUCCCGAAGGAGUGUUUUCAGGACGUGUCAGUGUCGCAUCAGUGGUUUGUCCUUUUUCCCUGCUGAGCAACGUUCUAUGGGGUGGAUCUACCGCCAUUGCCUGCUGAUGGGCAUGGGGCGAGUCCGGUUUGAGUGACAGCGAUGCCGUGAAGCCCCGUGUGUGAGGAGCCUCCGUGCGUACGUCUGCACUCGUUUCUCCUGGGCAGAUACCUUGGAGCUGGCCUGCUGGGCCAUAAGGUAGACAAAGGGCUCAGCUUUAUAAGAAACUAUGAUUCAAAUGCCCUUAAACAAUGACUGUGUCAGUUUGCUGAGGAUGAUGUUCUCCAGAUUCAUCCAUGUCCCUACAAACGACACGAACUCAUCAUUUCUGAUUGCUGCAUAAUAUUCCAUGGUGUAUAUGUGCCACAUUUUCCCAGUCCAGUCUAUCAUCGAUGGGCAUUUGGGUUGAUUCCAGGUCUUUGCUAUUGUAAACAGUGCUGCAAUGAACAUUCGUGUGCAUGUGUCCUUAUAGUAGAAAGAUUUAUAGUCCUUUGGAUAUAUACCCAGUAGUGGGAUUGCUGGGUCAAAUGGAAUUUCUAUUUCUAAGGCCUUGAGGAAUCGCCACACUGUCUUCCACAAUGGUUGUACCUAUGCAACUGUCUUGCAUGUUCUGCACAUGUACCCCAAAACCUAAAAUGCAAUAAAAAAUUUAAAAAAAAAACAAUGACUGUGGGAAACUGCAAACAUUUACGAAAGGAGGACAGUGGAGUGAACUGUGGAAAGC
ensembl:lncRNA